UACGUAGGGUGCGAGCGUUGUCCGGAAUUAUUGGGCGUAAAGAGCUUGUAGGCGGUUUGUCGCGUCUGCCGUGAAAAUCCGGGGCUCAACCCCGGACUUGCGGUGGGUACGGGCAGACUAGAGUGUGGUAGGGGAGACUGGAAUUCCUGGUGUAGCGGUGAAAUGCGCAGAUAUCAGGAGGAACACCAGCGGCGAAGGCGGCGCUCUGGGCCGGAACUGACGCUGAGGAGCGAAAGCGUGGGUAGCAAACAGG
rnacentral:rRNA from 1 species